rnacentral:lncRNA from 1 species
AUGGACAGAUGCCCACAAAUUUCCAUAACAGACAAGGGACUUCUAUGCACAUCCACUGCUAAUGGAUGUGAAAUUACUCAGUGUGUUUUAUCUGCAGGGCUUCUCCUUCAUAAUACCUGUGGGGUAAUUUGCAAAGCGGUUUUUGUAUCAUCUCCUUAUUUAAUUUUCUUCCUUGAUGUCUCCAACCAGAAUGAGAUCAGAAUGGUGAUGUCUUCAUACGGCUCUGCUUCAAAGCUGCAUUCAGCUCGUAAGCAAGGGGCUGCAGGAGUAAUAGGUAGCAAUCUCUCUUCUUGCUGCCCUAAUAUCACUACAGACCAGCUCCAGAAACCAAAAUACAGCGAUGGCCAGAUCCAGACAGUCUGUCUUCAGCUUCAAAUAUGUCAAAGCCAGCAGCCUCCUGAGCACUGCCUGGAUUAUCAGAGAGAGAUGAGGAGAUGUAGCUGCUGCCACAAAGCACCCAUCAUCUAGGAAAGGAGAGAGCACAGGAGAGAGGAAGCAUUUCAAGCCUCCUGCGAUUUGACUCAUUGUUUAUUCGGAGGGUUUGAUUUGUAAAUGGGAGGAAAUUCGCUUCCAUUAACUUGUCAUUCCACACCAAACACAAGUUGCAUGAAUUAUAGCCUUUACUAACCAAAAAGGCACACAAAAAGCCUUGCUGCUCCGUGUCGGUUGCUCUGCACAAAAUGCAGUUAGCAAUAAUAUUUGCUCUUCUGAACUACCAGGAGCCAAAGAGGAGAUGUCAAGUUACUGAAUGCACCAGCACUGAUGCAGACACAACCCAAUUCCUCGGGGCAGCUGCACAGGGGAGUGGGGCACAGGGGCCAAAUGUUUUUCCCCCUUACCUGGAAGCACAUUUGUUGGCCUGCAGAGGAAUUGUUUCCUUUCAAGCAGCAAAAAUCCACCGCGUUAGAGACUUGGAAGCCAGAUAAAAUAGGCACCUAGGAAUAUAGACAUGGAAGAGAAGAGAGAGACAGAAGUUUUGUGUCAGUUAUAGAUUUAAAUUCACAUUGAUCUUAAUUUUUAAGACAUUUAGAUUGUUUUUGUGACAGGUAUUGUGUAGGCUGUUAGCCACAGUUUGAGGUUGUUUUUAUUUUUCAGUUUGAACUUAGAUACCAGUUUAAAAGAAAAAAAAACAAAAAAACUAACAUAACGUUGAGACAUGCUAAAACUUAAUGAAUGCAAGACUGAAGCCAAAGCAGCUCUGCAAUAAUCAUUGAAAUUGGAAAUGCAGCUGCGAGUCACCUGUGAUAUAACUUACAUUACCUCAGCAUUUGAACACAUAGAGCCUUCACUUUUUCCAAAAUCUCAGUCCAAUACAGACCUGGAUUGUUCUCAGACAGGGUUUCAUAUCCAGGAGUAGCUUAUCAGACAUCCUGUACCCAGGAGCUGGGAUGAUCUAAGAACUUUGCAGCUGCCCCCCCAAGCCUGCAUCUUCGCUUCUCUGUACAGAUCCUUCUAAAAUAUUUAGCUAAUUCUUCAUGAAAAAAAAGAGUGGAUUUAGAAAUAGUCACAUUUACACCCAAUUUUUCUCUCGCUUGGGAAUGGGAGAAAAAUGACUUCAGAUAGAAUAGAAAUUCAGGAUCUAUGCGAUUUCUCGCUCAAAACAGCCACUUAGAGGAAAUUGUGUGCACAAAAAUGAGCAACUGCACGUAGGAACCACAGACUUGCAGACCUCAGUACUGGUAGCAGCCUCUGCGAGAAAGUCUGCAGGGAAAACACUAGACUGCCUUUUACCUCCUCUGCCUUCUUCACAGCUAGCGUGUUUGAUGAAAGAUUUAACAAAGCUCAUUUAGCUGUCGUUAUGUUUCCACACAAACACGGCAUAGAAUGUGAGGGAAGGAAGCUUGCUGCUUCUUUGCAUGGAUAACAAAAAUCCUUUGUCGUUUAAUUGCUUUCCUUUCCAAGUAGAGGAAAGGGGGAUUUAAUAGCAGAGAGCAGCUGGGCUGUGUUCAGCCCCUGAUCUCAGCAGCAGGGCCCCACCACGGCCACCCAAACCUCAGCUGCAGCAUCAGAACCGUACCCAGAGCUCCGACCACGUGCUGCAAACAGCACACUGUCCUGAACCAUGACGUGCAUCGUCAGGAGCCAAAGAUCUGCAUACCAGAAGCUGGAUAAAGCCAGUUAAGAAUCUGAAAUGAAAUUAAUUUCCAAAAAAAAAACCUAGGUAUUUCUCUUAAAGUACCUGUACAGAAAUUGAAGCUGCGAUAAAGUCUUGACACUCAAUAUCUGCUAAGGUGUUUCUAUAAAAUGUGGGAAAUGCCAGGUCACACAACUUCCCAAACCAAUUUGCCUACAAGAAAGAUCCAACUGUCUUUAUUUUUCUUCUGAUGGCAAUUCCCAGGAUGCCAGAGCAUUCCCCUUGUACUUCAUUCCCUCUGGAACUGGUCCUUGAAGACAUCUUACCUAACACUGAGAGUGUUCUUGAGCACUCUUAUCUAACCUGUGUUAGUUUAAUUUAUCCCCAGGGUGUUUUGGUGAAGCAAAAUCCAUAGCUUGGGAAACCUUGAACCAUCACCUGCCCAGAGUGCCUGCAGCCUCUCUGCCUCCAAAACCAGAAAAGCCAGCAGUCAUCUCUUCAUCAGAGCAGAGCAGCACUGUUACCUGCUGCCCCGUGUUUUUAAAAACUCCACUGGAUUUAUGACAUGGAGAUAAAUUCAGCCCUGAAUUUUGCAAGCAGUUGCCUGAAUAAAUCAUGUCUGCAAAGUCCCUGUAAAUUCA